AAACUGCAGUAGACUCUCCCCUCGCCCCACCCGGUGACGUGAACUGGCGGAUGUUGCCGCCGGCGGAAACCACGAAGAAAGCGACCGGAAGUAGCUGGAGGAUCGUGUCGGUUAUGUUUGUUGACUUAUUACGUAAAUAAAUUCAUUCACGUGUAAUUUUAAUUGGGGUUUGUUUUUUAUAAAGGAAACCCUGUAAUUACGAAACUAUUUUUUUUUCCGACUUAAGUUUUGCGCACAUUUGUAAUGGAAACGCAGCAGCUUCAGACCAAAGACUUGCUGUACAUGCUAACAGCUCCAACGUCCUGGACGACGCCAUUGUCUGUUAGCUAGCACUGCUAAUCCAGCUCAUUUGCUUUUGCUGUCGUUCAGGAAGUUGCUGAAAGUCAGGAAGUCGGAAUACGACCGAUGAUAAAGGUUUGAACUUCCUCCGUCUCUGCAUCCAUAAAGUCUCUUCAACUCCUCUGGGAUUUCGGAUUUAGUUCAGAAACUGUGUGAAGAAAAUGAAAAGAAACCCUCUGAGCGGAGAGAACCGUGAUUUCACAGCAGCCGCCCCCGUUCUCCGGCUCGCUCUGCCCAGACUCCCCGGAGGCCCGGCAGGAUGGAGGCGGGAUUAUCGGCGACACGACUCUGCGUUACGUCGGUGGGACCCAGCGGCUCUGGGCGUGGAAGAAGAAACAAAACAAAGAUCCCAAUAUGCAUAAACUAGAACUCCACCUUAAUGUCACGUUGCACAGACAUCCUGAUACCUGGAGGGACAGCAUCAGGAAGAGCGGCCCGUCCGUCGGGCUGCGGCUCUCCAGGAUCUUCCUGGCUCUCUGGGUGA